AAGGAAAUGGGUUAUUAAUAAGGAAAAACUUAAAGUAGUUUUUAGAAAACUUUAAAAGAAACUUUAAUUAAAUUAGUUAAAGUGAAGUCAAUUAAAAUUAAGUUAAAUUAUUUAAAUUAGUCGUGAUUUUCCAAGGUACAUAAUAAUAUGCUCCUGGAGUUGGUCCAAUAAACCCCACUCCUUAAGUUUAUCUUCAACGAAUAUAUCCAUUUUGUUCUUAUGCAAUUUUAACACUUAACGAAACGAAAAAACCUUAAAACAAAUUAAUGCCGGCCGGUUGAUUGAAGGACUGAAGAAUGAACAAUUGAACACCUGUGACACUGGGAACUAUAGCAAUGCUGCCAAAUCAAAUGUAUCUUAAAGAUUACACCGCCAAUUAAAAAAAUUACGUUUCCUUUUUCCUUGCGCGUGUUAUUAUCACGAUAUUAUUUAAAUAAAUAAAAUUAGAACUUA